rnacentral:lncRNA from 1 species
AUGAACACCACGUCGCGCCUCUGUCAUGUGAUGUCGCUUCUUAAUUGUAUUUGUCACGACCUCAUCACAAACAACAAAACAACAUACUCGAAGAAGAAAAAGAAAGAAACACAACUUACCUGCCAGAAAAGUCAUCUGGUGCAUCUUCGAGAAGACAUCGAUGACAAGAAAACCAAAAAACACAGGUUAAGGCUCAGAUUCAUGUGCGACGAAGAUGAAGACAGAGGAGUAUGA